CGCGGCACCGAGGGCGUUCGGGGGAGGGAACGCUACGGACUGCUCGCAGCGUGCGCACGCACGCACGCACGCACGCCCUCGGGAAGCGACGAGUCCGGGACGCCCAGCGCGGGCCCGGAGCAGGGGGAAGGGAAGUGCGGCUCGGUCGGCGCGGGUGGAGGGGGGGCGUGAGGCCGCCCUACGGUGGCCGUCGAGGGACGGCGCUACGGCUCCCACGCUAGGCCAAACGCCUCCGGCGGCAGCGCCCGGGAGCCCCUUCACCUGCAGGGCGACCCCAGCCGGGGACGCGUGAACCACGCCCUCAGCCGCCCUGCCAGCACCCCCAGCCGCGCGCCCCAGCACCAUGCGGCCGCCCUGCGCACGGAGCCCCGAGGGACAGGGGCACCCGCAGGCCCGGCCCCUAGCACCGCCGGCCGGCCCCGAGGUCCGGGACGCCGGCGCCGCCGCGGAGAGGGCACCAGGCCGACGCCUCCCCCCAGGCUCAGCUGCGGGCUCCCAGGCCUAGGCGCCCAUGACCCCUACGCCGACCGCCGCCUGGACACCGCCGCCGCCACUGCGACCUAGCGCCGCCGCCGCCGGGGCCCAAUGCCGGUCAUGCCCAUUCCGCGGCGGGUGCGCUCCUUCCACGGCCCGCACACCACCUGCCUGCAUGCGGCCUGCGGGCCCGUGCGCGCCUCCCACCUGGCCCGCACCAAGUACAACAACUUCGACGUGUACAUCAAGACGCGCUGGCUGUACGGCUUCAUCCGCUUCCUACUCUACUUUAGCUGCAGCCUGUUCACUGCGGCGCUCUGGGGUGCGCUGGCCGCCCUCUUCUGCCUACAGUACCUGGGCGUUCGCGUCCUGCUGCGCUUCCAGCGCAAGCUGUCGGUGCUGCUGCUGCUGCUGGGCCGCCGGCGCGUGGACUUCCGCCUGGUGAACGAGCUGCUCGUCUAUGGCAUCCACGUCACCAUGCUGCUGGUCGGGGGCCUGGGCUGGUGCUUCAUGGUCUUCGUGGACAUGUGAGGGCCGUGGGUGCGAGCUUGAUGUAUCGUCCCGGCCUGUGGCUGUGUUCUCUCCAUGGGUGGGGUCGGCCAGCGCCUUUCCUUCGCCCAUCCCCCAGGCAGUCGCUGCUGCCCGGCGCCCACGGAGAGAAAAGAAAGGGCUGAGACUUCUGUGAUGCGGGCGCGGACACCGCCCCUAGGCUGGCUUCCUGGACCCACCCUCCCCGUGUGCACUCUCAGGGGCAGCGCCCACCUGCCGGGGGCUCCUGCUCACACGUCUUCAGGUCGUACUGCGGGGUGGGCCCUCCGUUCCGCCUCUCCGUGGGCCUCUCUCCAGGACCACAGCUGCCAGGGACUUUAGACAUCACCCUGGGAGGCCCCUGGACACAGAGGGCUGUGUGCCCAGGAGCAAAUCCGGAGGGGGGCCCUCCUGGCUGCACAGCCCCUUCUGCGUGCCCUGGUCCCAGCCCCAGCCAACGGGACACGGAAGGCUCCCCUCCCUGACACACCACACUGCCACAAAGCUGCUUACUCUGCCCUGGGCCGCCUGAGGCCUGGCACUGCCCGCGGACCACCCUGUGUGUGUCAUCCUGAGGGGCUGUGUGGGUCCUGAGUCCCCAGCCAGCCUUCAGGGUCCCCUUGGAUUGUGUAGAUGCAGUCUAGCGGGGGGCCGGAGAAGGGCUCAGGUGGGAGGGGCCUCAGCAGGCUCCCAGCUCAGGGGCUGGCCUGGGGGGAACCCUGGGAGCCAGGGGCUGACUCCAGCAACACUGGCCUGUCUGCCUGUUCUGGGAGGGCUGUGAGGAUGUCUUGCAGAUGCUCUGGAUUUCUGCGGAGGCACCUCCAUUCCUUUCUGGCUUUUUUUGCGGGGGAGGGCUUUGGGCCUCUUUCUUUGAGGGAACACCGUCAAAGAAAGCCUGGGAGAUCGAGGCUGCAGUGAGCCAGGAUGGAAACGCCUGUCCCAAGGGUCCGGAGCAGGCGGCAGAGGCCUCAGUGCGGCAAACACAGCCCCAGAGCCUGUGUGGCACCAGCAGCAUCUUAGAGCCCCAGCUUCUGUGGAUGACCUCUGAUGAGCCUGGGCUGCGUCCAGGCCCUGGGCAGGUUCUGUUUUCAAAGUUGUUCUCCCCUUGAGGUCCCAGAUGACCAGCUGAGCUGUGCAAGGGCCACGGCUCCAAGGAAGGCCGGAGCUACUUGGAGGUUGUCCCCAGGCCCUUUGUCCACAGUGACAGACACCCAGACCAGACCAUGCUGCAGUGACUGGUAAGGGUGCCACCCAGAGAGGGAUCUCCAGGGACCGCCGAUGGUGCUGUAUGUCUGGGGCUGUCUGUCUUGGGCCGCCUGGGCCCUCCCAGCAGCAGCUGUGUUUCUGCUGGGUCGGGAGACAUGCCAGGACCACUGCUGGGGGACCAGCGCAUUCCACGGACACGUCACAUUUAGAGCAGCCUGAUUUGCUGGUGGUGGGCUCCACAUGUCUGAAAACACAGGAGUGACCUGCAGGCCUGGAGGCUUCCAGAAGCUUCCAGCAGUGGUGAGGAGUCGAGGACUGGGAAGGUGUUGAGACAGAACCUAAGCAUGUGGCUGCUGCGGCUUCCUGCAGAGAUCUCAGGCAGCGCGCAGCCGCUUCGGAGGGAGUUGGGAGCUGGUUAGGAGACAGGAUCCAUCCUUACGAGGCGGCUGGUCCAUACAGCGGCUCCCCUCCCGCUGCAGGUGGCCUCGGUUGCCUGCGAAGGAGGGAAGUGGCCCCAGGGACUCAGGGUGGCGGCCAGACCUGUGUGAGCUGGGAAGGACAGGUGUGGGCAGGGAGGGCCGCUGGCUGCUCCUGGGGACGGUGGGAAGUGGAGGUAGCUGCAGACCGGCCUGGAGGUCAGGAACGUGCUGGGAAGGUUCUGGAAUCAGAGCUGCCCGGCGCUGGCUGGAUGAGAGGCCCCCAGUGACCGCAGUGGGUUUGGGAGUGAGGAGCCUGGCACCAGAGGUCAGUGUUCAGCCUGGGGGAUGGGGGAGGGUGGGCGGCCCUGGACCAAUCCCUGAGCCUGGACCACGGAGAAGGUCUCCAGCCCAAGGCAGGGGCGAAGCUGAGGGGGAGCUGGGCGGGCCGGGGAGGGAGGAAUCAGAGGGGCUCUGGGGAGGGCGGCCCCUGGGUGGAGACGGGUGGGAGGGAGGCCUGGAGGUGGGGAGCGGCUCCAUCUCGGGCUGAACAGAGUGCUGAGUCAGGAAGUCACAGCCGGGCGCGGGGUGUGCAGGAAGCCACCAAAGCCAGCCCCGGGCUGUUGACUUAGUGGGGUCUGAUUUUCAGUCUGUGCCUGGCCCGGGGGGAUUGUGCCGAGUGGCUCCCAGAGCCCCCCUUUCCCCGUCGUCCACCACACGGGGACACCAGCUUGGGCACCAGACCGGGGGUCUCUCUUGCUGAAAAGCGGAAUCCAAGCUGAGGAGCCAGCAGAGGGCAGGCAAUGGCUGGAAGGGGGUGGUGCUGGGGAUUUCAAGAUCUAAGAUGCUCGGUCAAGAUGGGCCACGUGCUGUCCCAUCCCCAGUACAGGGUAGACCAGGUGGCCUCGGAAGGCUGCCCCGUCAGAGCCCCCGUCUGCAGCCUCCACAGGCAAAACCACCCCAAACGCACACACACGGGAAUGUCCUCCACCUCCCGCCCCUCCCCAGGGGGCAGGACAGGACAGCAGGGGCUGAGGGGGAAGGUGCCCGGCUCCAGACACAGCCCCCAGCAGGAAGGACGGCAGGGCCAAGCGCGGCCCCCACUCCAGACCAGAGCAUGACUGCCCCGGUGCCGCUGCGUCGAUGGUGAUAUUGAUGCUCCGUGACCUUGGAAGGGCCUGUCCCCUCCAGCGUGCGAUCGGAGGAGGGCGCGGGCCCUGGCAGUGCUGUGAGUGCUGAUUCAGCGUUUUCUGGGGGAGACAAACGUGCUUCGAUCUGCAGAGGCCAGUGCGUUUCUCUUCUUCCUUAUGGGUCUCCUUUGGAAAGGGCCCCUCUCUGCCCAGGCCCUCCCUGCAGGCCUCCGCUCAUGCCCUCGGAGGCGGGGGCUGCCCUGCACCCAGCCCCGGUGAGCCGCACUUCCCAUGCAGCAGGCUGCAGAGGCCGCAGUCCAGAAACACCCCCCACCCCACCGCCUGGCGCGCCUCCUGACAGUUCCCAAAAGAGAGAGCGCCCCGCCGCACCAGCAUCCUUGCCCAGGCGGGGCCGUCCGGGUGCAGCUGAUUCAGCGGCUCCUGGCCCGGCGCCCCUCCCCCAGCCCAGCUGGGCAGCGUGCCCGGGCAUGCCGGCAGCUGUGUCACACGGGCUCUGGCAGGGCUGCUGUGGCUCGAGGUGUGUGGCCCGCACUGCGCCUGGGGGCGGGGUUGCAGGCUGCUGCGGCGGGCGGGCUGCCAGGUGCCCCCUCCCUGCGGGGCCGCUCCCCUUCCGUGCAGUCCUUGUAUGGCCUCCUGCAGAGGAGAGGCCCCGUGGGAGGCCGAAGGCAGAGCUGGGUCUUGGUGCUCCUGGGCUACCGUCAGCCCCCAGGAAAUAAUCACAUCCCGAAGCCCCGUCAGCGGAUCCACCGCCACAUCCAGAGUCUCCCCAUAGCCCGGGUCGGGGCCGCGUUCCUCCAUCUCAGGCCAGCCCUGCUGGGGCCACCUGCCGUCCUGACCUGGGCGGAGACUGGAAGGGGCAGGUGGGGCGGGGCCCCAGAGUCCUACCCGACUAAUGGGGACAGCCAGAGCCAAGGGGCUCUCAGGGCAGCAGGAGGGCCGUGCAGGGGUGAGCCACAGCCCCCAGGGCCCCUCCUGCCAGCUUCGCUGCGCCCAUGAGCUUGGGUUUGCCUCUAGCUGAGGGCAUGGGGCAGGCCUGGGGAGCCGGUAGGCGCUGACCCAGCGGUGACCCAGCCCCAGGGCCCAGGGGAGGAGGGUGCCAGCUCUAUUUGGGAAGUGGGCUUUGUAAAGGGGCUUGGUUAAUUUAUGCUAGGACCUUGGUGUCCCCGCCCUGUGAGGGCUGUGGGCGUGGGGUAAAUGCAGGGCGGGGAGGGGAGAGGGGUCGGGGCUGAGCAGGAGAAGCAGGGGCAGGAUCGGUGAGGAAGAGGGGCAGUUGGUCGAGGUUGGGUCAGGUAAGGACACGGUGGUAGGCAAAGGCCAGGGGGCAGGUGGGGUGCCUGGGAGGUCCGUGGUCAGAGGACGGGUGCUGGUGGGGCCUGGAGAUGGCGGUGCUGCCUCCACCCUCCUGAGCCUGGAGGCCUGACAAUUGCAUCCGAAAAAUCCUCAGCCACCAUCGUGUCAGCAGCACGUUGACCAUGGCUCACGACAUGGGGACGGGCAUUCUCGCCGCUUCCUCAGAAUAUUAAUGACCGUCCCAGCAGAAUGCUGUAUGAAUAUUCAUAUGGAGCUCAAUCAAGCCUGGGCUGGCGGAUGGCACAGGGAGAGGCGCCGUGACGGGCUGUGCCCGGGUCCCAGUGGGCACACCUUGGCAGGGUGUGGCCGUAAGUCGCCGCCAGCUCCAGCCAGGAUCUGCCUCCCUCGGGAUGGGACAGGCCUGGGCCUGUUGUAUGGCCACAGGCAGAAGAGGCCGAUGAGUGACAUGACAUCACCACUUAGUGACUGCCCUCGUCCUGGGAGCCCAGAUGCUGGGGCGGGGCUCCUUCCUGAAAGACCCAGAGAAGUUCAUCUCAGGUUUAACGGGGGCACUGCUGCCUCAGAAGCCAGGCAGUGGGUGGUGAGGUCCCUGUCCUCACUGGGGUCUGCAGCCGAGGAGGUCUGGCCACCGAGGCCCAGGCCAGGCACGGGGAUGCUGGGUGGCCAUGGCCAGUCCUCCCGGGAGCCCCUAGCACCUUGGGCCUGCCCCCAGCUCUCAUGCCAGGAGAGGUUUUUUCCCACUCCGGUGGCCGACGCCCUGGUGAAGGGAUUCGCAGAACGGGAGCACGUGGAUUUCCAGUUCUUCCCAGCGGGCGCACGUAGGCCGGCACCCUCUCUCUCGUCUUUGGGCAAAACUCGAGUGCUGCUAGACCCUUGGCCCUGCUCACUGCGCUGGGCCGCGCUGCACCCAUUUCCUCCCAGCAAGGGCGGUCCCUGGACUCCUCUGACCUGAACUGCUUCCGAGUUUGCUUCUCAGAACCAAGAGGGGCUGGCUCUGCGCCCUGCCUACCUGUCCAGGGGUGGGGGCUGCCCUUUGAAGCUAUCAAUCUGGGUUUUAAGUGUGGAUUCAUUAUUGACAACACCAUGACAUUAUGCUGACAUGAAUUAUUUGUAUGUUUUUCAAAUUGUGCUGUGAUAACCCUGGCUGUCUUCCUGCUCCCAUAGUGGAUAAAAGCGUCCGAAAGAA